UGGAGAUCGACUGAAAUUUGAAUGAAACUUGAAGAAAUCGUAAAAUCGAUACGGAUUUUUAAAAAGCCAUAGACUAAGAGAAGAGAGAAGCUGCUGUGGACGUGAAAAACGAAGAAUGGAAACGUGGAAGUAAGAAAUUGGAAGGAAGCCACCUUAAAACACCACACCUUAGUGCGCUAAGAACUAAAAGAGGACAUAAAUUGUAUUCUCAGGAGAACAACGGGAGAAGACAGUGAACAACAGUUCGUGUCGCAAAACGGAAAGUUGUUGCGAAACGAGGAAACGAUUAUAGAAAUGCAACGGCAAAUAUACGUCUGCGCGACGAGAAUAACUCGUAAUUGUACUUCAUUUAGCGGAGCUCGUCAGCUCUUGUGCUCACCUGCUUGAAAGGCACGUAUAAUCGGAUUUAUCGUUCUUUUCGAUGCUCUUGAAAACGUUUCAAACGCGACGCCUCUUACAACACGGAGCGGAAAAGGCAUCGAGUCGUUGAAGGAAGAUCGACGAUGGUUAAGCGAAGAAGCGAGAUUCUACGACAUAGAAUAAGACGAAAGUGAAGAAUAAUAGAAUUAAGUUGCAGACUCGCUUACUUAUCUCAGGCUGAUGGUCAAGUAAUUGAACUUGGCUUUACUUGCUAUACACAGAAACAAAGUUAGAACUGAUUAAAACUGAACAUAAUACGGUUAUACGACAGCUGUAUCGAUUCUUUGGUUAUUCUCCCUCUUUGUCUUGAAAUAUCCUCCUAUACAAAUUCUACUCGUUAUGCUUCAUUCAUUCCGCUUAUCCUUUGUCUAUCUGUUAUUUUAACCAUGCGUCAGUUGCUGAUCGUUGAGUUUGAUUCAUAGAAUAAAGAG
rnacentral:lncRNA from 1 species